GACAGAGGGGGCAAGCGUUGCUCGGAAUUACUGGGCGUAAAGGGCGCGUAGGCGGGAUGGCAAGUCAGUCGUGAAAUCUCUCGGCUCAACCGAGAAACGUCGGCUGAUACUGCCGUUCUUGAGGGAUGCAGAGGAGACUGGAAUUCCCGGUGUAGCGGUGAAAUGUGUAGAGAUCGGGAGGAACACCGGUGGCGAAGGCGGGUCUCUGGGCAUUUCCUGACGCUGAGGCGCGAAAGCGUGGGGAG
rnacentral:rRNA from 1 species